GACGAACGCUGGCGGCGUGCUUAACACAUGCAAGUCGAACGGAAAGGCCCUGCUUUUGUGGGGUGCUCGAGUGGCGAACGGGUGAGUAACACGUGAGUAACCUGCCCUUGACUUUGGGAUAACUUCAGGAAACUGGGGCUAAUACCGGAUAGGAGCUCCUGCUGCAUGGUGGGGGUUGGAAAGUUUCGGCGGUUGGGGAUGGACUCGCGGCUUAUCAGCUUGUUGGUGGGGUAGUGGCUUACCAAGGCUUUGACGGGUAGCCGGCCUGAGAGGGUGACCGGCCACAUUGGGACGGAGAUACGACCCAGACUCCUACGGGAGGCAGCAGUGGGGAAUAGUGCACUAGGGGCGGAAGCCUGAUGCAGCAACGCCGCGUGCGGGAUGACGGCCUUCGGGUUGUAUACCGCUUUCGCAUGUGACGAAGCGUGAGUGACGGUAAUGGGUAAAGAAGCACCGGCUAACUACGUG
rnacentral:rRNA from 1 species